rnacentral:rRNA from 1 species
UACGUAGGGUGCGAGCGUUGUCCGGAAUUAUUGGGCGUAAAGAGCUUGUAGGUGGUUUGUCGCGUCUGCUGUGAAAAUCCGAGGCUCAACCUCGGACUUGCAGUGGGUACGGGCAGACUAGAGUGUGGUAGGGGAGACUGGAAUUCCUGGUGUAGCGGUGGAAUGCGCAGAUAUCAGGAGGAACACCAAUAGCGAAGGCAGCUCGCUGGGACGUUACUGACACUGAGGCGCGAAAGCGUGGGGGAGCGAACAGG